CCAAACUAUAUAUCUCUUCAGCUAUCCAUUAGCCAUAAUCAAUUCAGAGCUUUGAGUUUGAGAAAACCAAAGAGAAGUCAAAGCAAGUUUCUCCUUCAGCUCCCGGGGCUUCUUCUUCGACUUUUGGGCUUUUUUGUUUUGGCUUAUGCUGCUCUUGGGUUCUUCAGCAGCAGCAACAGAGGAGGAGGCUUCUUAGCCUGAAAUUGGUGAGCUAUUUUUCCCUUUUGCUUUUUUUGCCUGAACCAUUAAUCUGCAGUCCCUGUGUACGACGGAGGCCGUGUGUCGUAUACCUUUGUUUUUGGUGUCGAGAGAAAAGGAAGAUAAACUCUUUUCUCUUUUGUGAUCUCUGUGAUUUUAUUUUCAUCAUUUCCUUGAAGGCUUGACUGUAUUUUUUUUUUUUUGGGCCAAAGAAAAUUUUGAAUUCUCUGCUCCCUUCUGGUCUCUUGGUAACGACGGUCUGAUGCUUUGGUGCAAUUUUUUUCUUCAUUUGA